rnacentral:tRNA from 1 species
UGGGGCGUGGCCAAGUGGUAAGGCAGCGGGUUUUGGUCCCGUUACUCGGAGGUUCGAAUCCUUC